UCAAUCCUACUAUUAGAUAUGUAGUAAUGUAGUUAAUUAUUGUUUUCUCUUAUUUUUAAUUGACUUUUUAUGUUGCUGCCUCUUAUAGCUUCUAUGAAGUCUCAUUCUGGAGUACCAGUAUCUUACAGUGCAGAAGCUUCAUUGAGUCCUCAAACCAACCCAGACGCAAAACGCCUGUGUACUGCUCCUCCAAGCCAAACUAAUACUGCAUCAAG